GUGGGGAAUCUUCCGCAAUGGACGAAAGUCUGACGGAGCAACGCCGCGUGAGUGAUGAAGGUCUUCGGAUUGUAAAGCUCUGUUAAUCGGGACGAAAGAGCCUAGUGUGAAUAAUGCUAGGAAGUGACGGUACCGGAAUAGAAAGCCACGGCUAACUACGUGCCAGCAGCCGCGGUAAUACGUAGGUGGCAAGCGUUGUCCGGAAUUAUUGGGCGUAAAGCGCGCGUAGGCGGAUCUGCCAGUCUGUCUUAAAAGUUCGGGGCUUAACCCCGUGAUGGGAUGGAAACUACAGAUCUAGAGUAUCGGAGAGGAAAGUGGAAUUCCUAGUGUAGCGGUGAAAUGCGUAGAUAUUAGGAAGAACACCAGUGGCGAAGGCGACUUUCUGGACGAAAACUGACGCUGAGGCGCGAAAGCCAGGGGAGCGAACGGGAUUAGAAACCCCAGUAGUCC
rnacentral:rRNA from 1 species